ACGAUUCCGUCCAGAGUCCCGUCUUCUUCUGAAAGGGCAGCGCUGCUGUUGAAGCAAAAACGUCAAGACUUCCAAGAAUCUGGACCGUCCAUGAUUAUGGGGCCCAUUAUUCGACUCCAGCACCGAAAUGAAACCAAAAGAGACGCGAAAGAAGCGCUGGAAAUCCCAGUUUUCCCGGAAACGUGCAAGGCUUUCAAACCCAGAACCCAUCAGACGAACAUCUAUGAACCUCCGAUUUGAUGAUUCCUCAAGCGUCUUAGGACCAAUCAAGACCGUCCACAAGGAUCAUAACAAAGUGAUACGCCCCGUGUAUGAUUUCCUAUUAACAGGCGAUCAUCUUCCUCACCAAGAACCACAACUGUAGAUUUUUUUGUGGCCACCGAUUCAAGAUCCAAACAGUGAGUUAUGUGGCCCAUUUGAUUCACAUAAGAACUUCAUAUCUUAAUCGAGAUCGGACCAUGUAUUAACAAUUUGCAAAACGAAAAUUAGAGCCGAAAACCUGAUGUUACACCCUUACGUGAGUAAUCAAUCGAAAACCCGAUAAAACUCCUCUUGCGAGUGUGAUUCCAGAACCGGGAGAAGGUUAUAAAAACUCUAUAUCCGACCUGCAAAAAUGAGAGAAAUCGAAGGAAAGAGGGAGUGACUCCAUGGACUCAGUGAGUCGACUCAUGAGUCAGGGAGGAGUCAGAGUCGAGUCCAGAUUCGAGUCAGGUUCAACAAACAAGCUAUCUUACAGGCUCUAUAAGCUUGCCCUUUAUUGUGGAUAUAAAAUUUCAGGUUGUAGAGCUUACUUAGGGAGCACAUUGGAGCAACGACCUAGAAAUUUUCCUAGUGUUAGAAUUACUUUUUUUAGUUGUAUUAGUUGUAAAAAAAAAUGUAAUGGUUGUUUAGACGAGAGUCGAGACUAUUGUAUUGAAGUUUAUUGUAUUUAUAGAAUUAUGAAUGAUUAAAA